GAUGAAGAACGUAGCGAAAUGCGAUAAGUAAUGUGAAUUGCAGAAUUCCGUGAAUCAUCGAAUCUUUGAACGCACAUUGCGCCCCCUGGCAUUCCGGGGGGCAUGCCCGUCCGAGCGUCAUUUCUGCCCUCAAGCACGGCUUGUGUGUUGGGUGUGGUCCCCCCGGGGACCUGCCCGAAAGGCAGCGGCGACGUCCGUCUGGUCCUCGAGCGUAUGGGGCUCUGUCACUCGCUCGGGAAGGACCUGCGGGGGUUGGUCACCACUAUAUUUUACCACGGUUGACCUCGGAUCAGGUAGGAGUUACCCGCUGAACUUAAGCAUAUCAAUAAGCGGAGGA
rnacentral:misc_RNA from 1 species